AUUUGAAGAAAUAGGCUCAUCAUAUAUGGUUAAGAUUGAAAUCUAUGACUGCACUUUGAAUUUGCUUAGACUUAAGUUUCAGUUAAAACGAGACAGAUUUAUGCCAGCGAUAUAACGCUGUCUCGUUUUAACAGUGUCUUAAGUAUGAAUAAAGUUAAAGUGCGCUC